AUUACAUAUACACUUACAAAAAUAUAUUGUUGUAUAUAAAAACGCAAUAAAGGGGGUAAGUAAAUUCCAUGGAAAGUCCAGUAAGGAAAAUCCUGUCUUAUAUACUGACCAGUUGGUGCACCUUUAAGUAAAAUGUAUUAUGAAUUAAAUGUUAUGAUUAAAAUGUUUUAUACGUUCAUGUA